rnacentral:rRNA from 1 species
AUUGAACGCUGGCGGCAGGCUUAACACAUGCAAGUCGAGCGGAGCGAGGGUGCUUGCACCUUAGCUUAGCGGCGGACGGGUGAGUAAUGCUUAGGAAUCUGCCUAUUAGUGGGGGACAACAUUCCGAAAGGAAUGCUAAUACCGCAUACGCCCUACGGGGGAAAGCAGGGGAUCUUCGGACCUUGCGCUAAUAGAUGAGCCUAAGUCGGAUUAGCUAGUUGGUGGGGUAAAGGCCUACCAAGGCGACGAUCUGUAGCGGGUCUGAGAGGAUGAUCCGCCACAAUGGGACUGAGAAACGGCCCAGCAUCCUACGGGGGGCAGCAGUGGGGAAUAUUGGACAAUGGGCGGAAGCCUGAUCCAGCCAUGCCGCGUGUGUGAAGAAGGCCUUUUGGUUGUAAAGCACUUUAAGCGGGGAGGAGGCUCUUAAGGUUAAUACCCUUGAUGAGUGGACGUUACUCGCAGAAUAAGCACCGGCUAACUCUGUGCCAGCAGCCGCCGUAACAC